rnacentral:lncRNA from 1 species
UAUCCUCCAUGCCCUGAACCUGAAUUGACUAUGGGUACUUCAAAGCACACUGAUAUUAGCUUCAUGACAAUUCUUCUGCAAGACCAGAUGGGUGGUCUUCAAGUUCUUCAUCAGAAUCAAUGGGUUGAUGUUCCUCCGGUGCAUGGAUCUCUUGUUGUAAACAUUGGGGAUCUUCUGCAGGUAAUUUCUGUAAACACGUGUAUACUCUAACUUCUGUACGUCCUUCUUGGUCCCCCUUUCCUCACUCAUGUUCCUAGUAGCCUUCUCUGUAUGUAUCCAAAACCACUUUAACUAAUUUUUGGUCAUCUUUUCCUCAAUUGUAGUCACACCUAUAUCUUCUCGUAUACAAUCAUUUUGUAUCUUAUCCUUCCUUGUGUAGCCAUACACUUUUGUUGACAUUCUUAGGCACUCUCACAUUUUUCUCUUAUUGUCCAUUUGAAGUCCAAUAUUUACUAUCAUAAAGUAUAGUUGGACAUAUAACUUUACAAUAAAACUUCCUUGCAAACCAAAACAACCCCCAACACCUUUCUCUAUUUUAACCAUCUGACUUGUAUCGUGUGAGACAUCCUCAUGUUGGCAACCAGAAAUAUUUUCAGCAGUUUUAUUAUAUUAACAUCUAAAAUCUCAUAACAAAUGUCAUGUUUUAGUUUUUAAAUUUUUGUGUUUCUGCCAUCUAUUGUUAUGCUUUAUGAAAAAUAAUAUCUGAGAUACACAACUUUUGAUAAUUAUAUUUUAUCAAUCUCCUUCUUGUUGAUGCAGCUUAUAACAAAUGACAUGUUUGUCAGUGUCUAUCAUCGGGUCUUAUCGAGGUAUACAGGCCCCAGAAUUUCAGUUGCAAGUUUCUUUGCAAACUCAUCUCCACAGAGUUCAUCGAAGGUAGUUGGUCCAAUAAAAGAACUGUUAUCAGAAGAUAAUCCACCUGUCUAUAGGGACACUACUGUAAAAGAUGUCGCAGCACAUUAUUUUGAGAAAGGCCUUGAUGGGAACUAUUUGCAACCCUUUAGGUUGUGAAGUGAAUAUUGAGAAUUCGAUUGGAUCAUUCUUGUAUGAUUUGUCUAUGAUUCAGUGUGUAUUUUACCAUGGUUAACUUGUGCCUUUGUCUAUGAUUUGCAGUAUCUUGUGAAUUUUAUAUAAACUGUAUCAAGUUCUGGAGACAGAAGAAGGUUAAGGCACCCUAACUUAUUUGUAAAGCACAAGAGCAAAUCUUCUACUUUCUGUAUUAUCAUAAUAGUACAAUAUAAACUGCUGAAAAUAUUAUUCUCAUAGUAUACAUGAAUUCAAUUUUUUUAUACUAUCAACAGGUCCUAAAUUAUGAUAAAUAGACUUUUAAAUUAAUUAUUGUAAAAAUCAAUAAACUUAUUAUACAUGAAAGUGAUUGCAUGACAAUAUAAGAUUUACAUUGUUGAUGCAUAUAUUAUUUUCUCUUUCUUUUUUUUUUCUAAUCACAAGACUCUAAUUUAAGAUUGUGGGUAAGAUCCAAACUCCUUACCACUUAAACAAGUUAGUGUUGGUAAUAAAUAUGUAUUUAUAACAUAUCUUAAAUUCUUAAUCUAUUUUUUCAUGGAAAAAUAAACUUUGAAAACCGAACGAGCUACUAAAAUAAUCACGUUCGAAUUAACCCAUUUUUUGCACAUCAAUAGUGGACUAGUGGCUUUUUCAAAGUGGCCUAGUUGAUUGAAAAAUAAACUGUGCCUACUUGUUCCACAUUGGCAGCUAUCAGUAUUCAGUACUGUCCCACCUUAUCUAAUAUUCUCUUUACAAGUAGAUGACAUUGUCUUUAGUUAUUUCAUUUUUGUAGCACAGAGAGAACUUGUAGUUUCUGCCAGUUUCCCAGUAUGCAGGUGACCACAACCUCAUAUCAGUUAGAGUUAAAAACAGGUAAAGAUUCCACUUGUGACAGAAUAGCUGAAGUCAAGGACUUUGAUAAAACAAAAAUUGGUGUGAAAGGCCUCUUAGAUUCUGGGAUCACAGAGAUACCACGCAUGUUCCACCAUGCCAAGGUGGAGGACCACACUGAAACCACACCAAAUGGCUCAAACUUCAGUGUCCCCAUCAUAGAUCUCCAAGAUAUAGACACAAACUCAUCCCUUCGUGUCGAAGCACUUGACAAGAUUCGAAGUGCAUGCAAGGAGUGAGGGAUUUUCCAGGUGGUAAAUCAUGGUAUUGGUGUUGAUCUUUUGGAUGAGAUGAUAUGUGGAAUCCGUAGGUUUCAUGAACAAGAUGCUGAGGUGAGAAAAAGCUUUUACUCAAGGGAUAUGAAUAAGAAAGUUAGAUAUUUCUCCAAUAAUAGUCUUUAUAGAGACCCUGCUGCUAACUGGAGGGACUCAAUUGGUUUUUUUCUUACUCCUGAUCCUCCUAAUCCAGAAGAAAUACCAGCAGUAUGCAGGUAAUUAAUUGAUGUUAUGUUUUUAUUUGAUUACGCUUGAUAAUCGCAAUCAUUAAUCAGUGAUUGAGAUUUUAUAUUUUUCUUUGAAUAAACCAUCAUUUUGGUCCCUCGAGUAUUCUCUCUGCUAAAUUAUUCAUGAAAUAAUAAAAUUAUAUAUGUAUUACCUCUAAUAUUAUUGAAUAUUCAUCGGAGAAAGACAAUAUUCAACGGAUGAAUUUUAGGUUUACUCUUUUUCUUUUCAAAAUAAAGACUCAAUUUAGAAAAGUUGUAUACAAGCAAAACAGCCAGGGGGGUUUGUUUGCAGGAUGUUUUUCUAUUUUUUAUUUCCCGCUUUUGAUAAUGAUUACAAAAAUAUCACUUGUAAAAUGGGUGCUACUUUUGUAAAUAUCAUUCAAAAAUUAAGAAAAGAAAAAUUACAUAGAUGAAGAGUUUUACUCUUCAUGUUUGUUACAUCACUUAUAGUACAAUUCACUUUUAGACCCCAUCAAAUUUUAACUUUUUUCCCUUGUAUAUGAUGAAAUAAUCAUGAAUUUGCAGAAACAUUGUGAUUGAAUAUUCAGAGAAAAUAAGGGCAUUAGGCUUUACAAUCUUUGAGCUAUUCUUAGAGGCUCUUGGUCUUCAUUCUUCUUACCUUAAUGAAUUGGACUCGGUUGAUGGACGAUAUCUUUUGUGUCACUGUUAUCCUCCAUGUAAAUAUCCCAUUUUUUAAAAAUAAAUUAAAAAGAAUUUUAUUUAAAAAAAAUAAAAUUUUAAAAAUAAUAAUAUUUUUAUAAUUAAAUAAAUAGGAAAAAAUAAUUUUACUAAUUAAAAUAAUAUUUUUAAGGUAAAUAAAAUAAAUAUAUGUUCGUAGAAAAAAAUAUUUUAUUUAUUCAUUUGAUAGGGAGUAAAAUAGAGUUUCUUUUUAUAAAAUGAUAAAUAAAAAAAUAGAGUAAAUAAUAGGUCAUGAGUACCUUAGUUAUAAAUAAAAACAUAUUAGGUGAGUUUUCACAUUGACAUAUGCUUCUUUUCUCUUCUUUUCAAUUCCGUUUUCCUUUUUUUCUUCUUCAAAAUUCUUCUCUUUGUCCUGCAUACACUCAAAUAUGUUUCAGUAAAAUGACAAUUUCGAUCUCGUUAACCGUUGGAUCAUUGUAAAAUUUGAACACUAGGUUUCGAACUUAUUUUCACACAUAACCACCGUUGGGAUUUUCAAAAUAAUGUCUGUGGUAAGGGAAAUAUCUCUCGCACUUAGCUCUUUUUUUCUCGCAUACACCCAAACUUAUCCCAAUAAAACUACGCUCCCGGACUCAUUAACUGUUGGAUUAUCGUGAAAUUUGGACACCAAGUUUGAAACGCAUUUUCUCAUAUACACACCGUUGGGAUUUGUGAAGUAAUGUCUAUGGUGAGAGAAAUUCCUCUCGCACUGAGAUAAUGGAAUGGAGUUUGAAUCUCUUAUCUUUCUCUCUAACGCUUGGAAGUCCUAGAAGAGCAAUCAAAGGAAAAGCUUGAAAAAUCUCAGGAAACUGAUAGAGAUACCGCUAUCACUGCUGGACUAUACACGUGAGCCUACUUAGAGGUAAGGAAUGAGUUUAUCGUAAUUGAAGUUAGAAUAAACAUGUGUACGGAUCCUUAGAUGAUCAAAUUAUGAUUUAUUUUGAGAAGUUGAUUAUAUUGUAAUUCUUCCUGUAUGAUUAUGUGAAAUUAUUUGAGGGGUUUUACUUCUAAUAUUGUGAGUAACAUUUUUGUAUAAUUUGUUUGUGUUUUAGAUAAGAUUUACUAGUUCGGUGUAAUAAAAUGUUAUAUUAGGAUCAUGAAAUUGUUAUUGGAAUUGUGUAUAAGUGAUAAAUUGAAUAUGUGAUGAAUUGUGUAAUAACAUGUUGCUUUAAGAUUAUAACAUUGUUAGUGCAAAGUUGAACAUGUGCUAAUUUUCGAAAUACAUAUAAAUAUGUGAUGAUAGAUUGUGACAUUCUGAAAUGUUAAAUUAUGGACAUGAAAUUUGAUUGUGAAUAAGUGUGUUAUUAACACUUGAUGUGACAAUACUUGUGUUGUAAGCUAUGAAUCAUAUAAUAACCCGAUUAGUAGAGAAUGGAGAACGAAUUCGAGAGAAAAAGAAAGAAAAGAGAGCAAACAUAUAUUAAAUGUAAAAAUAAACCUAAUAUGUCUUUAUUUAUAACUAGGAUACUUUGAACCUAUUAUUUGCUCUAUUAAUUUGAUUUGAUUUUAUUAUUUUAUGAAAUAAAUUUUAUUUUAUUAUCUAUCACAUCAAUAAAUAAAACAUCUUUUUUUAUUUGUAAAAGAAUAUUUAUUUUAUUUACCUUAAAAUUAUUAUUUUAAUUAAUACUUUUUUUUGAAUUUAUUUUAUGAAAAAAAACGGAAGGUCACAGUCAAGCGAAAUGUGAUUUUCAAAAGUGGAGUCUGUACUUUAAUAAAAAAAAGUUAACGUCCCUACCCUUUCCUCAGUGUCCUUCCUUUUUAUCUAACUAUUGUACCCUUGCAAAAUAACAUUCUUUAGUUAUUUCGAAUUCGUGUAGCACAGAGAGAAGAGAAGAGAACUUGUAUUUUCUGCCAGUUUCCCAGUAUGGUGGCCACAAGCACAAAUCAAUCCGAGUUAGAAACAAGUAAGAAGGAUUCCACUUAUGACAGAAUAGCUGAAGUCAAAGCCUUUGAUGAAACAAAACUUGGUGUGAAAGGCCUCUUCGAUUCUGGGAUCACAAACAUACCACGCAUAUUCCAUCAUGCCAAGGUGGAGGACCACACUGAAACCAUGCCAAAUGACUCGAACUUCAGUGUCCCCAUCAUAGAUCUCCAAGAUAUAGACACAAACUCAUCCCUUCGUGUGAAAGCACUUGACAAGAUUCGAAGUGCAUGCAAGGAGUGGGGGUUUUUCCAGGUGGUGAAUCAUGGUAUUGCUGUUGAUCUUUUGGAUGAGAUGAUAUGUGGAAUCCGUAGGUUUCAUGAACAAGAUGCUGAGGUGAGAAAAAGCUUUUACUCGAGGGAUAUGAAUAAGAAAGUUAGAUAUUUCUCCAAUGGUACUCUUUAUAGAGACCCUGCUGCUAACUGGAGAGACACAAUUGCUUUUUUUCGUACUCCUGAUCCUCCUAAUCCAGAAGAAAUACCAUCAGUAUGCAGGUACUAAUUUUGACUUGAUUACACUUGAUAAUAACAAUCGUUCUCAUUCAGCAGUGAUUAAGAUUGUAUAUUUUUCAUCGAAUAAACCAUCAAUUUGGUCCAUCAAGUAUUAUUCUCUCUCCUAAAUUGUUCAUGAAGUAAUAAAACUAUAUGUAUUCCCUCAGGUAUUAUUGCAUAUCUAUCAAUUUAGUCCCUGAGUUGAUAUAUCUUAUUAAGGUUUAAGAACCAAUUUGAAGGGUUUUUCCAUACUUGAGAGACUAGCUAGUAUGAUUUCUAAUAUUUGAGGGAUCACUUAUAUAAAUUUUUUUUACUUUAAAAACUAUUUAGGAGAAAGGAUACUAUUUCAGUGUGAAUUUGAGGGGUUUAUUACUUUUGUUUUUAAAAUACAGACUAAAUUUAGAAAAGUUGUAUACAAGCAAAAGAGAGGGGGGGGGGGGGGGGUUGGUUUGCAGGAAGUUUUACUAUUUUUAUUUUCUGCUUUUGCUAAUGAUUACAAAAAUAUCACUUGUAAAAUAGGUGCGACUUCUGUAAUUAUCAUUGAAAAAUUAAGAAUUUUUGCUUUUCAUAAGAUGAAGCACCAUCAGUAGUUUAGCAACAUCCAUAUGGAAAAGAGUUUCACUCUUCAUGUUUAUUGUGCAAUUCACUUUUAGACCCCAUCAAAUUUAGACUUUUUCCAUUGUCUAUGAUGAAAUAAUCAUGCAUUUGCAGAGACAUUGUGAUUGGUUAUUCAGAGAAAGUAAGGGCAUUAGGCUUUACAAUCUUUGAGCUAUUCUCAGAGGCUCUUGGCCUUCAUUCUUCUUAUCUUAAAGAAUUGGACUCCGUUGAUGGACAAUUUCUUUUGUGUCACUACUAUCCUCCAUGCCCUGAACCCGAAUUAACUAUGGGUACUUCAAAGCACACUGAUAUUAGCUUCAUGACAAUUCUUCUGCAAGACCAGAUGGGUGGUCUUCAAGUUCUUCAUCAGAAUCAAUGGGUUGAUGUUCCUCCAGUGCAUGGAUCUCUUGUUGUAAACAUUGGGGAUUUUCUGCAGGUAAGUUCUGCCGCACACGUCCUUCUUGGUCUCUCUCUCCUCACUCAUGUCUCUAGUAGCCUUUUCUUUUUGUAUCCAAA